GACGAACGCUGGCGGCGUGCUUAACACAUGCAAGUCGAACGGAAAGGCCCUGCUUUUGUGGGGUGCUCGAGUGGCGAACGGGUGAGUAACACGUGAGUAACCUGCCCUUGACUUUGGGAUAACUUCAGGAAACUGGGGCUAAUACCGGAUAGGAGCUCCUGCUGCAUGGUGGGGGUUGGAAAGUUUCGGCGGUUGGGGAUGGACUCGCGGCUUAUCAGCUUGUUGGUGGGGUAGUGGCUUACCAAGGCUUUGACGGGUAGCCGGCCUGAGAGGGUGACCGGCCACAUUGGGACUGAGAAACGACCCAGGGUCCUACGGGGGGCAGGAGUGGAGAAUUUUGCACAAUGUGCGGAAGCCGGAUGCAGCAACGCCGCGUGCGGGAUGACGGCCUUCGGGUUGUAAACCGCUUUCGCCUGUGACGAAGCGUGAGUGACGGUAAUGGGGAAAGAAGCACCGGCUAACUACGU
rnacentral:rRNA from 1 species